AGUGAACGCUGGCGGCGUGCCUAAUACAUGCAAGUCGAACGGAGCGGCGCACGGGUGAGUAAUGUAUAGCUCAUCUGCCCUACACUAGAGGACAACAGUUGGUAACGACGGCUAAUACUCCAUAGUGUAGGAUGAGGCUAUAUUGUAUAAGCUAGUUGGUGAGGUAAUGGCUCACCAAGGAUAUGACGCAUAACUGGUCUGAGUGGAUGAUCAGUCACACUUGAACUUGAACACCAUCCACCCUCCUGCGUGAGUCAGCAGUAGUGAAUGUUGCUCAAUGGGGGUAACCCUGGAGCAGCUACGCCGCGUGAAGGAUGACACUUGUCGGAGCGUAAACUCCGUUUGUUAGGGAAGUGGUACCUAACGAAUAAGCACCGGCUAACUCCGUGCCAGCAGCCGCGGUAAUUC
rnacentral:rRNA from 1 species